UUUCGGGCUCCAGCUUGCAGGGCACCACCUGCUGCGACCCGAAUGGGUGCAGAUUAUACAACUGCACCAUCCCGGCCACCGCAGUGAGCCAGUCCUGGCGCCCGGGGACCCCGCGCCGGCCGCAGAGGAAGGACCACUUCCGGACUCCAGGAGACAACAGGCUCAUCAAAUCAGUGAGGCAGAGAUGUGGACAAGCAGGUUGCUCUGGUCAACCAUAGAGGACUGAAAACUCAUAGAAGGCUGCUAUAGAAAACAACCAGCCUAGCUGCCCAUAAUUCAUGUUUUAGAUACCAUACUCAUGAAUAUCCCUUUCCCUUCACCAGUAUCUGCCAUAUUGUCCUUUUUUGAUUAAUUUUCUCAUUCAAGGCUGAAAAUUACAAUUUCUGUACUAAAAUAAAAUUUCAAAACU